rnacentral:rRNA from 1 species
AUUGAACGCUGGCGGCAUGCCUUACACAUGCAAGUCGAACGGCAGCGGGGGAGAAGCUUGCUUUUCCUGCCGGCGAGUGGCGAACGGGUGAGUAAUACAUCGGAACGUGCCCUGUAGUGGGGGAUAACUAGUCGAAAGAUUAGCUAAUACCGCAUACGACCUGAGGGUGAAAGUGGGGGACCGCAAGGCCUCAUGCUAUAGGAGCGGCCGAUGUCUGAUUAGCUAGUGGGUGGGGUAAAGGACUACCAAGGCGACGAUCAGUAGCUGGUCUGAGAGGACGAUCAGCCACACUGGGAAUGAGACACGGCCCAGACUCCUACGGGAGGCAGCAGUGGGGAAUUUUGGACAAUGGGCGAAAGCCUGAUCCAGCAAUGCCGCGUGUGUGAAGAAGGCCUUCGGGUUGUAAAGCACUUUUGUCCGGAAAGAAAUGGCUCUGGUUAAUACCUGGGGUCGAUGACGGUACCGGAAGAAUAAGGACCGGCUAACUACGUGCCAGCCGCCGCGGUAA